AAAUUGAACUGACUGCAUUUCAGGGACUCAUCAGUCAUCUAUCACCUGUCACCACCUGUGCAGUGGAGAUGGGGAGGCAGAAGAGAAAGCAAGUGGAUCCCACCUCAAGUGAUGAAAAGGGAUCACAUCCAGGAUCCCAUGUUACAUGUAAUUUAAUUGUCCUAUCUAAUCUCUUGCCUGUGGAAGAUUCAGAUUCUCCUUGUUUUUGAUGGCCUUGACAGUUUUGAGGAGUGCUGCUCAGGAAGGGAACAGAAGUGAACAUGGAAUUCAGCCUGAGAAGGAGGGAGGCACAGAGGCUGUGUGCACGAGGCAGGUGGAGUGUCAGAGCACAGAUCCCUGCUGCCUGCCUUCCUUCCUCCCUCUGGACUGUCACCUCUGUCCUGCCCCAGGAAUGCUGCUGUUCUGCUCUGGCAGAGAAUGGCUGUGAGACACCUAGCAUAGGAUCUGGCUCUCCACUAAGCUGUCAGCAAACCGAAAUGCUGCCCUUCCUGGUCCCUGUGGCCUGAAGGAAAGCAGCUCAAAUGUGUCCAUCUUGGCCUCUCCGGCUCCCUACACCGGGCCUGGUGCUCAGUAGGUGGCAAAAGUCUGUUGACCAAAUGAACAGCAGCCAGCCCUUGCUCUUAGGGGCCAAGAAAAGGAUACCACCACCCAUGUUCAUUACAAUCCCACACAUUGUAGCUGAGCCCCCACCCUGUGGAUCAGGCCUCCCCAACUCUACAGGAAAUGGGAGGGCAUCCUUCGCCCACUUCAGGGGGAAUCUGUCAGAGUCCAGGGGUGGCAGUUGGGGAGGGGAUCAGUGACAUGAAUCAUGUAGAGGAGGCAGCAUUAAGGAGCUCAGAGAACAAGGCAGGGCAAAGGAGGGGCACCCUCCACCCCAACUUGCCAUCUCCUUCCCUGACCCAUUGCCCACUGACCAUCUUUAAAUGAACUAGCUCAUACCUUCAUCCAGUGACUGGCACAGGGUCAAGAAGUUUCCCCAAGACAUUGUCCUCCCCUGCCUCAGCUCUCCCAUAUAUCAGGGGCCUGAGAACCAGAGGCUGCGCUCAUCAGGCCUUUGGGUGGGAGAGAAAACAUUAUUAUUAUUACUAGAUCUAUCUUCCUCAGGGACCAGGCAUGCCAGGACUUCACGUUCCAGAAUAGGAGCAUGUUCAACCCACACAGAUGCUUCUAUUCCAGGGGCAGGCCAAAGUCAUGAGGAACUAAAAACUGCUUUUCCCAGAAAGGCAGUUGGGGAGUAUUGAGUGGAAGCCUUCCAGCUGUCUGUGGGGUCAAGCCCCUCUGAGUCCAGUAGAGGGGGUGGAAAGCUGUGGGCAACAUACUUUAAAGAAGGGCAUCUCUCUUUACACUGUGCACAUCUGGGCUGGGUGACUCCUUGCCACAAGGGACUGUCUGGUGCAUGAUAAAGAUAUUCAGUAGCAUCUCUGGACCAUUCUCCUCCGUUGCAACAGCCAAAUAUUUCUCUGGGCAUCACCAGGUACCUCUUGGGAGCCCUGGUGAGAAUCAUCACUGUGCAGAACAGAACCUAUGUGGAUGUUGAGGUCCUUGUGCCACAUUCAGGUAUCUAGGGAGCCUGCUAUUCACUUGGAUGUUCUUUGAUGCAGGGACCAAACCCAGAACCUUCUGCAUGCUAAGCAUGAGCUCUACAGCUAAACUAUACUCCUAGCCCCAAGCCUCCUGUUUUAUGUGCCCUGUCCCCUCUGCCUGGAGUCCUGUCCCCAAGCCCUACCUGCCAUCUUCCAGAACUGAACCCACAUCACCACUCCCAAGAAUGUUCUGUGGACCUUCUUAUAAGUUUGAUUAACAUGGUAUUAUGGAAGGCAAAAUAGUGCCUCUUCCCCAGAUGUCCACAUCCUCAUCCCCAGAACCUGGGAUUGUGUUCCCUUACUUACAAAAGGGAGCUUGUGGGACUGAGGAUAUGACUCAGUUGGUAGAGUGCCUGUCUCACGUGCACAAGGCCCUGGGUUCAAUCCCCAGCACCGCAAAGAGGGGCGGGGCGAGUGUGUAGAUGGAAUAAGUUAAAAGAAUUUGAGAUGGGGGGUCAUUCUGGAUUAUCCAUGGCCCAGUGUCAUCACAAGGGUCUUCAUAAGAGGAAGACAGGAGGGUCAGAGCUAAAGAGGGAGACGUGGAGGUGGAAGCACAGGUCAGCAACUGGAAGACACAGCACUGCUGGCUCGGAAGACCGAGGAAGGGGCCACGAGCCAUGGGAUGCAGGCGCCUCUAGAAACUGGAAAAGAUAGGAGAGAGAGGUUCUCCCUGAAGCCCUCAGAAAGAACCAGUCCUGCUGACACCUGACUUUGGGGCUUGGACCUCUGGCAUUGUAAAAUAACAAAUUUGCCUUUUUCUCGCCAAUUAGAAAAAAAUAAGUUACCUACAAAGUCUCUGUGUUUGCAUUGUUAAAAUAACUGGGGCUGGGGUAGUGGCUCAAUGGUAGAGCACUUGCCUAGAAUGUGUGAGACACUAGGCUCAAUUCUCGGCACCACAUAUAAAUAAAUAAAGUUCCAUCAACAGCUAAUAAAAUAUUUUAAAAAUAUAUUCAGAAGCCUGGGGCAGAUGAUGAUGGGGUAUGGGUGCUCCAAGAAUCCCAUUUCCUGGUAGAACCAAGUGGCUCCAUUCUAAUUUAUUUUCUUUGUGGGGAAGGGUUCUGCAUAGAAUUUAAGAGUUGCACACCACCCCUCAGACUUGACCCCCCCAACCCUGUGGAAAUGCUGUGACAAGGUGGAGGCCUCAAAAUGCAGAGGGUGGGGGGGUGGAGGGCGGGGUGCUUGGCUGGGACUGCCCUGAGGGAGGUUACAGUCCUAUGGUGACAACCAGAGGGAGCUGCAGGUUCUGACAGAGUUCCCAUGGCUGGAUGGCCUCAGCCCUAUGGGAGGAAAAGAUUGGACCUGCUUCCAGUAUUGGUGGCCUUGGACUUCUGUUUGAUUGGCUAUUGGAGGUCCCCUGCAAUUCUGUAAGAAUGUUAGGAUCUGUUUUUACAUUUCUGAAAAAAAAAAAAAAGAAGAAAGAAAGAAAACAUUAGUAUUCUGAUACAGCUUGCUUUGAAUCUGUAGACCAAUUUA